UACGUAGGUGACCAGCGUUGUCCGGAUUUACUGGGCGUAAAGAGCGCGCAGGCGGUCGUUCAAGUCGAGUGUGAAAGCCCCCGGCUCAACUGGGGAGGGUCAUUCGAUACUGAUCGACUGGAAGGCAGGAGAGGGAAGCGGAAUUCCCGGUGUAGUGGUGAAAUGCGUAGAGAUGUGGAGGAACACCGAUGGCGAAGGCAGCCCCCUGGGUCAAGACUGACGCUCAUGCACGAAAGCGUGGGGAGCAAACAGG
rnacentral:rRNA from 1 species